rnacentral:lncRNA from 1 species
GUGGGAAGAAAUAUGAACAUCAUGAGUUGAUGGAGAUCAAAAGCAUGGCAUGAUGAUUUUGUGAUCAACAAGUAUAUGAUAUUGAAUGAAGUGAAUGAGAAAUUGAAUACAUUGAAGAUGUGGGAUACAAAGUGUUUUCAUGUGGCAAGAUGGUGAAGGGAAAGCAAGACUGGGCUGCGAUGGGCCAUGCAAUGGUGAAGGGCAUGCAAGAGGCUUGGCGCCGAUGGACCAAGGUAGUGGUGAAGGGUGAGUAAAGGCUUGGGACCGAUGGACCAUAAGAGGCCAUAUGAAGCUAUGAGUGAUCCGCAUCAAUUAUAUGAAGAAUGCAAAAAGAUAUGGAGUAAAAUCAAAGGAUAUACUUCACAUGGUGAAAUAUAUCACGUGGCUUGAAGAACUGAAAAUCAAUGACCAUCAUGUGUUGAUGAGAGUAACAUGAUGUGGUGAGGAGUUAGAAGAUGGAAAUCAUGUGAUUGACCGACAUCAAGUGUAUUGAUAAGAUGAAAUGGACAGAGUCUAUAUGUUGAUGAACAUCAAGUGCCCUGAAGAAAUGAUGGUGAUGGACAUAGUAUGCAUAUGAGCAUCAAGCUAGAUCCAAGUGGAUUUGCGCAAGGCAAAGGUAUGAUAUGUAGGGCAUUUCAUUUUGCUGGUCUCGGUGUUUAGUGGAGAAAAGAACGGAUUGAUAUAAUAGAAUGCCGUAAUAUUAAGAGGGGUCUUGAUGAUGCUUUGAGUCAUUACCAGGUGUUGAAAAGCUCAAUCUUGCAUAUGCAUACUAGCCUUUGUAUGGAACUAGUCAUUUGCAUAACUUGCUUAGCAAAUGGUUGAUGGUAAUGGCAUGUGGUAGAUCUUAGAUUGUAAUUCUGCUU